rnacentral:misc_RNA from 1 species
GUUGAACGCUUAAAUUCGAAUCUUCCGUCACAGAUUAGGAUCAUCGGAUACAAGUGAGUGACGGCAUCGUUUAAUGCCAAGAAGUUUUGCGAUCGUAGAAAGUAUGUGUAUCUAAUUCCAGUUUUGCUCUUGAUCCACGUUCUCAUCCUGAUAGGGAGAGUUCGUUGGCUAGUUUGGGGGUCUGAUAACGAGCUUGUGAAGUGUUUAGAGGGUUCAGCGAGAGGGCGUAUGGUAGUUGGGGCUGUGGGUAAGCGUAAGUUUGAAUCAAAAUCUUUGGCUUCUCAAACUUACAUUUCGUUGAAUGAUGGUGAUUGUAUUGCGCAACCUGAAAUUAAAGAGGUUAUUUGGGUGCCUACGGAUCGACCCUGAUGGUGAUAAUACAAAUGCUGAAUUCGUAAAGGAAGCUAAGGUCUCUCGAAAUGAGGCUGCUGAAACACAAACUAUGCAGCCAAACCUUGUAGCAGAGAGCAGCUCAUGGUGCCUGUUGAAGGCAUUGAAUUCGUCA